rnacentral:rRNA from 1 species
GGCUCAGGAUGAACGCUAGCGGCAGGCUUAACACAUGCAAGUCGAGGGGUAUAGUUCUUCGGAACUAGAGACCGGCGCACGGGUGCGUAACGCGUAUGCAAUCUACCUUUUACAGAGGGAUAGCCCAGAGAAAUUUGGAUUAAUACCUCAUAGUAUGUGAGAAUCGCAUGGUUUUCACAUUAAAGUUCCAACGGUAAAAGAUGAGCAUGCGUCCCAUUAGCUAGAUGGUAAGGUAACGGCUUACCAUGGCGACGAUGGGUAGGGGUCCUGAGAGGGAGAUCCCCCACACUGGUACUGAGACACGGACCAGACUCCUACGGGAGGCAGCAGUGAGGAAUAUUGGACAAUGGGCGCAAGCCUGAUCCAGCCAUGCCGCGCGCAGGAUGACGGUCCUAUGGAUUGUAAACUGCUUUUGUACAGGAAGAAACACUCCCUCGUGAGGGAGCUUGACGGUACUGUAAGAAUAAGGAUCGGCUAACUCCGUG